rnacentral:rRNA from 1 species
UACGUAGGGUGCAAGCGUUAAUCGGAAUUACUGGGCGUAAAGCGUGCGCAGGCGGUUUUGUAAGACUGUCGUGAAAUCCCCGGGCUUAACCUGGGAAUGGCGAUGGUGACUGCAAGGCUAGAGUUUGGCAGAGGGGGGUAGAAUUCCACGUGUAGCAGUGAAAUGCGUAGAGAUGUGGAGGAACACCGAUGGUGAAGGCAGCCCCCUGGGUCAAAACUGACGCUCAUGCACGAAAGCGUGGGGAGCAAACAGG